rnacentral:rRNA from 1 species
AACGAACGCUGGCGGCAUGCCUAACACAUGCAAGUCGAACGAGAUCUUCGGGUCUAGUGGCGCACGGGUGCGUAACGCGUGGGAAUCUGCCCUUUGGUUCGGAAUAACAGUUGGAAACGACUGCUAAUACCGGAUGAUGACGAAAGUCCAAAGAUUUAUCGCCAGAGGAUGAGCCCGCGUAGGAUUAGCUAGUUGGUGUGGUAAAGGCGCACUAAGGCGACGAUCCUUAGCUGGUCUGAGAGGAUGAUCGGCCACACUGGGACUGAGACACGGCCCAGACUCCUACGGGAGGCAGCAGUGGGGAAUAUUGGACAAUGGGCGAAAGCCUGAUCCAGCAAUGCCGCGUGAGUGAUGAAGGCCUUAGGGUUGUAAAGCUCUUUUACCCGGGAUGAUAAUGACAGUACCGGGAGAAUAAGCUCCGGCUAACUCCGUGCCAGCAGCCGCCGUAA